UACGUAGGGUCCGAGCGUUGUCCGGAGUUACUGGGCGUAAAGCGCGCGCAGGCGGCGGUGUUGGCCCGGCGUGAAAGCCCCCGGCUCAACCGGGGAGAGUCGUCGGGGACCGCACCGCUUGAGGGCGGUAGGGGCUGGUGGAAUGCCUGGUGUAGUGGUGAAAUGCGUAGAGAUCAGGCAGAACACCUGGGGCGAAGGCGGCCAGCUGGGCCGUCCCUGACGCUGAGGCGCGAAGGCCAGGGGAGCAAACGGG
rnacentral:rRNA from 1 species